rnacentral:rRNA from 1 species
GCAUAUCAAUAAGCGGAGGAAAAGAAACCAACCGGGAUUGCCUCAGUAACGGCGAGUGAAGCGGCAARAGCUCAAAUUUGAAAGCUGGCUCCUUCGGAGUCCGCAUUGUAAUUUGCAGAGGAUGCUUUGGGUGCGGCCCCCGUCUAAGUGCCCUGGAACGGGCCGUCAGAGAGGGUGAGAAUCCCGUCUUGGGCGGGGUGUCCGUGCCCGUGUAAAGCUCCUUCGACGAGUCGAGUUGUUUGGGAAUGCAGCUCUAAAUGGGUGGUAAAUUUCAUCUAAAGCUAAAUACUGGCCGGAGACCGAUAGCGCACAAGUAGAGUGAUCGAAAGAUGAAAAGCACUUUGAAAAGAGAGUUAAACAGCACGUGAAAUUGUUGAAAGGGAAGCGCUUGCGACCAGACUCGCCCGCGGGGUUCAGCCGGCAUUCGUGCCGGUGUACUUCCCCGUGGGCGGGCCAGCGUCGGUUUGGGCGGCCGGUCAAAGGCCCCUGGAAUGUAGUACCCUCCGGGGUACCUUAUAGCCAGGGGUGCAAUGCGGCCAGCCUGGACCGAGGAACGCGCUUCGGCACGGACGCUGGCAUAAUGGUCGUAAACGACCCGUCUUGAAACACGGACCAAGGAGUCUAACAUCUACGCGAGUGUUCGGGUGUCAAACCCGUGCGCGCAGUGAAAGCGAACGGAGGUGGGAGCCCCCUCGCGGGGCGCACCAUCGACCGAUCCUGAUGUCUUCGGAUGGAUUUGAGUAAGAGCGUAAAUGUGGGGACCCGAAAGAUGGUGAACUAUGCCUGAAUAGGGCGAAGCCAGAGGAAACUCUGGUGGAGGCUCGCAGCGGUUCUGACGUGCAAAUCGAUCGUCAAAUUUGGGUAUAGGGGCGAAAGACUAAUCGAACCAUCUAGUAGCUGGUUCCUGCCGAAGU